GGAGUUCCUAAUGAGACAGAGGCUGAGCAGAGCUAUGUAAGGUAUCUGGGGCUUGGCCUCCCAGCCUCCCUAGCUUGGCUGUUUUUCUACUCUCGCGCGUGCGUGUGUGUGUGUGUGUGUGUGUGUGAGUGAGUGUGUGCGCCUCUGCUCUUUGUCCUGAGCCCACGAUUCCAGAGCUGGCUGGACCCAAGGAGGUGAAGAGUCACUUCUCCGCCCCAGGAAGGGCAAAGAAGAGAGACAAAAUCAGCCUGUCUGCUCCCUGCUUGGCUCAAUAAGGCCUCUAAUAGUCUUCUGUCCUUUCUUCUGCACACGGCAUAUUUGGGAACAAGAAACAAAAAUUUUUCCAAAUGAAGAGAACUCACUUGUUUAUUGUGGGGGUUUAUUUUCUGUCCUCUUGCAGGGCAGAAGAGGGGCUUAAUUUCCCCACAUAUGAUGGGAAGGACCGAGUGGUAAGUCUUUCCGAGAAGAACUUCAAGCAGGUUUUAAAGAAAUAUGACUUGCUCUGCCUCUACUACCACGAGCCGGUGUCUUCAGAUAAGGUCGCGCAAAAACAGUUCCAACUGAAAGAAAUCGUGCUUGAGCGCAGGCAAAUAUCCCAGUGGUUGCAUUUCCAAACCC